rnacentral:rRNA from 1 species
AAUUUUGGACAAUGGGGGAAACCCUGACCCAGCCAUCCCGCGUUUAUGAUGAAGGCCAUCGGUUUGUAAAGUACUUUUGUCAGAGAAGAAAAGGUAUCUCCUAAUACGCGAUACUGCUGACGGUACCGGCAGAAUACGCACUGGCUAACUACGUACCAGCAGCCGCGGUAAUACGUAGGGUGCAAUCUGUAAUCGGAAUUACUGUGCGUAAAGCGUGCGCAGGCGGUUUUGUAAGACAGAGGUGAAAUCCCCGGGCUCAACCUGGGAACUGCCUUUGUGACUGCAAGGCUAGAGUACGGCAGAGGGGGGUGGAAUUCCGCGUGUAGCAGUGAAAUGCGUAGAUAUGUGGAGGAAUACCGAUGGCGAAGGCAGCCCCCUGGGAUAAUACUGACGCUCAGACACGAAAGCGUGGGGAGCAAACAG